GACGAACCGUGCAAACGUUGUUCGGAAUCACUGGGCUUAAAGGGCGCGUAGGCGGGCCAGCCAGUCUGUGGUGAAAGCCUCCAGCUUAACUGGAGAAGUGCCGUGGAUACUGCUGGCCUCGAGGAGGAUAGGGGCAUCUGGAACGGUCGGUGGAGCGGUGAAAUGCGUUGAUAUCGACCGGAACUCCGGUGGCGAAGGCGAGGUGCUGGGUCCUUUCUGACGCUGAUGGCGCGAAAGCCAGGGGAGCAAACGGG
rnacentral:rRNA from 1 species